AUUGAACGCUGGCGGCAGGCCUAACACAUGCAAGUCGAACGAGUGGCGGACGGGUGAGUAAUGUCUGGGAAACUGCCUGAUGGCGGGGGAUAACUACUGGAAACGGUAGCUAAUACCGCAUACCAUCGGAUGUGCCCCGAUGGGAUUAGCUAGUAGGUGGGGUAAAGGCUCACCUAGGCGACGAUCCCUAGCUGGUCUGAGAGGAUGACCAGCCACACUGGAAGUGGGACACGGUCCAGACUCCUACGGGAGGCAUCAGUGGGGAAGGUUGCACAAUGGGCGCAAGCCUGAUUCAGCCAUACCGCGUGAAUGAUGAAGGCCUGCGGGUUGUAAAGUACUUUCAGCGGGGAGGCGUUACCCGCAGAAGAAGCACCGGCUAACUCCGUGCCAGCAGCCGCGGUAAUAC
rnacentral:rRNA from 1 species